CUUAAUCUUGAUAAGCUAGGUUCACCUAAACAUAUACACUUGAUAAUGAAGCCCAAAUCUAUAUUAGCAAAAAUUGUCAUUGCUUACUGGUGCGGUAUCAUCAAGAUUCACAUAGUAAUAUUAUUCCCUGCUAGCUAGUCUUUUUUGGGACAUAUGCGAAUCUUGAUGAUGCUGCAUCAGAAAUCAAUCGACUGUAUUACAAUUCGAUCUAUCUCAAGCUUAUCGAUGUACGAUGUUAACCAACUGAGGUUAUGAUUCCUGCACCAAUAUAUAGUUUUUAGAACAGGUAAUUGGAGCUCUUUAUUAAAGAUCUAUUUUAAUUAAUUAGUAUAUAUUCAAGAAAGAGAAGCCACACAUGAAGAGAAAGGGUUAAUUUUCCCAUCUUUUCAUUUAUGGAGACCGGAGAUUUACUGCAAUUUAGACUGACCAAUAAUACCGGCUGCGGCUAUAUUUUUAGUUAAAAAGAAUUUUAUAGAAAGCUGGUGUUACAUGUUAUUUGUGUGUUAUUUUUGUGGUACCUAUAGUGUGGAGUAAGUUGUAAUUAGUUAUGCUCCUAGCUAGCUUGUGUAUAUAUUUAAAGAUAUCUAUAUCUA